rnacentral:rRNA from 1 species
GACGAACGCUGGCGGCGUGCUUAACACAAGCAAGUCGAACGCUGAAGCUCAGCUUUUGUUGGGUGGAUGAGUGGCGAACGGGUGAGUAACACGUGAGUAACCUGCCCCCUUCUUUGGGAUAACGCCCGGAAACGGGUGCUAAUACUGGAUAUUCACUGGUCUUCGCAUGGGGGUUGGUGGAAAGGGUUUUUCUGGUGGGGGAUGGGCUCGCGGCCUAUCAGCUUGUUGGUGGGGUGAUGGCCUACCAAGGCUUUGACGGGUAGCCGGCCUGAGAGGGUGACCGGUCACAUUGGGACUGAGAUACGGCCCAGACUCCUACGGGAGGCAGCAGUGGGGAAUAUUGCACAAUGGGCGCAAGCCUGAUGCAGCGACGCCGCGUGAGGGAUGGAGGCCUUCGGGUUGUGAACCUCUUUCGCUCAUGGUCAAGCCACAACAAUGGUUGUGGUGAGGGUAGUGGGUAAAGAAGCGCCGGCUAACUACGUG